rnacentral:rRNA from 1 species
GACAGAGGUGCCGAGCGUUAGGCGGAAUCACUGGGCUUAAAGCGUGUGUAGGCGGAUGCCUAAGUACCUUGUGAAAUCCCACGGCUUAACCGUAGAACUGCUUGGUAUACUGGGUGUCUUGAGCCACUUAGGGGCGACCGGAACAAACGGUGGAGCGGUGAAAUGCGUAGAUAUCGUUUGGAACGCCAAUGGUGAAAACAGGUCGCUGGGAGUGUGCUGACGCUGAGACACGAAAGCCAGGGGAGCAAACGGG